GAAGUGCGAAUGCUGACAUGAGUAGCGAUAAAGGGGGUGAAAGGCCCCCUCGCCGUAAGCCCAAGGUUUCCUACGCAACGUUCAUCGGCGUAGGGUGAGUCGGCCCCUAAGGCGAGGCAGAAAUGCGUAGCUGAUGGGAAGCAGGUCAAUAUUCCUGCACCAUUGUUAGAUGCGAUGGGGGGACGGAUCGCGGAAGGUUGUCCGGGUGUUGGAAGUCCCGGUCGCUGCAUUGGAGAAGGCGCUUAGGCAAAUCCGGGCGCGGAAUUCAAGGGUGUGGCGCGAGCUCCUUAGGGAGCGAAGCAAUUGGAAGUGGUUCCAAGAAAAGCCUCUAAGCUUCAGUCUAACGAUGACCGUACCGCAAACCGACACAGGUGGGCGAGAUGAGUAUUCUAAGGCGCUUGAGAGAACUCGGGAGAAGGAACUCGGCAAAUUGGUACCGUAACUUCGGGAUAAGGUACGCCCUUGUAGCUUGAUGCCCCUGCGGGCAAAGGGUGAAGGGGUUGCAAUAAACUGGUGGCUGCGACUGUUUAAUAAAAACACAGCACUCUGCAAACACGAAAGUGGACGUAUAGGGUGUGACGCCUGCCCGGUGCCGGAAGAUUAAAUGAUGGGGUGCAAGCUCUUGAUUGAAGUCCCGGUAAACGGCGGCCGUAACUAUAACGGUCCUAAGGUAGCGAAAUUCCUUGUCGGGUAAGUUCCGACCUGCACGAAUGGCGUAACGAUGGCCACACUGUCUCCUCCCGAGACUCAGCGAAGUUGAAGUGUUUGUGAUGAUGCAAUCUACCCGCGGCUAGACGGAAAGACCCCAUGAACCUUUACUGUAGCUUUGCAUUGGACUUUGAACCGAUCUGUGUAGGAUAGGUGGGAGGCUAUGAAACCGGAACGCUAGUUUCGGUGGAGCCGUCCUUGAAAUACCACCCUGGUUUGUUUGAGGUUCUAACCUUGGCCCGUGAUCCGGGUCGGGGACAGUGCAUGGUAGGCAGUUUGACUGGGGCGGUCUCCUCCCAAAGCGUAACGGAGGAGUACGAAGGUACGCUAGGUACGGUCGGAAAUCGUGCUGAUAGUGCAAUGGCAUAAGCGUGCUUAACUGCGAGACCGACAAGUCGAGCAGGUGCGAAAGCAGGUCAUAGUGAUCCGGUGGUUCUGUAUGGAAGGGCCAUCGCUCAACGGAUAAAAGGUACUCUGGGGAUAACAGGCUGAUACCGCCCAAGAGUUCAUAUCGACGGCGGUGUUUGGCACCUCGAUGUCGGCUCAUCUCAUCCUGGGGCUGUAGCCGGUCCCAAGGGUAUGGCUGUUCGCCAUUUAAAGAGGUACGUGAGCUGGGUUUAAAACGUCGUGAGACAGUUUGGUCCCUAUCUGCCGUGGGCGUUGGAUAUUUGAAGGGGGCUGCUCCUAGUACGAGAGGACCGGAGUGGACGAACCUCUGGUGUACCGGUUGUCACGCCAGUGGCAUCGCCGGGUAGCUAUGUUCGGAAGAGAUAACCGCUGAAAGCAUCUAAGCGGGAAACUCGCCUUAAGAUGAGAUAUCCCUGGGGACUAGAUCCCCUUGAAGGGUCGUUCGAGACCAGGACGUUGAUAGGUCAGGUGUGUAAGCGCAGUAAUGCGUUCAGCUAACUGAUACUAAUUGCCCGUAAGGCUUGAUCC
rnacentral:rRNA from 1 species